UGGGGAAUAUUGGACAAUGGGGGGAACCCUGAUCCAGCCAUGCCGCGUGUGUGAAGAAGGCCUUAUGGUUGUAAAGCACUUUAAGCGAGGAGGAGGGUACUGGUAUUAAUACUACCAGGUACUGGACGUUACUCGCAGAAUAAGCACCGGCUAACUCUGUUCCAGCAGCCGCGGUAAUACAGAGGGUUCGAGCGUUAAUCGGAUUUACUGGGCGUAAAGCGUGCGUAGGCGGCUAAUUGAGUCGGAUGUGAAAUCCCCGAGCUUAACUUGGGAACUGCAUCCAAAACUGGCGAGCUAGAGUAGGGCAGAGAGUGGUGGAAUUUCCUGUGUAGCGGUGAAAUGCGUAGAUAUAGGAAGGAACACCAGUGGCGAAGGCGACCACCUGGGCUCAUACUGACACUGAGGUGCGAAAGCGUGGGGAGCAAACAGGA
rnacentral:rRNA from 1 species